UACAGAGGUCUCAAGCGUUGUUCGGAUUCAUUGGGCGUAAAGGGCGCGUAGGCGGCGCGCUAAGUCGGGUGUGAAAUUUCGGAGCUUAACUCCGAAACUGCAUUCGAUACUGGCGUGCUUGAGGACUGGAGAGGAGACUGGAAUUUACGGUGUAGCAGUGAAAUGCGUAGAUAUCGUAAGGAAGACCAGUGGCGAAGGCGGGUCUCUGGACAGUUCCUGACACUGAGACACGAAGGCCAGGGGAGCAAACGGG
rnacentral:rRNA from 1 species